AACACCCACGCAGGUCACAUAGAGAACGUACAAACUCCACACUGACAGGACGCGUGGUCAGGAUCGAACCCGGAUCUCUGGCGCUGCGAGGAAGCAAGUCUACCCGCUGCGUCACAUUCUCGCCAGUAAAAC